ensembl:lncRNA novel transcript
GAGUGUCCAAAAUAGCUUUCUUUGAAUUCUGCAUCGUGUAGAUGCCAGUCUUAUAAUGGAUCUCUCAGUCACAUCAACGCCCGAGUCUAUGGUGAUGAUAAUGUUUGUGCAAAGUGGAUGCCAAGUGACUGCACAAUCAAGGUUUCUGAGUAGUUGAAAUAGAUAAGUCUUGAGUCAAUCAGUACAUCUGUACCACAUUCAUGUGGCAAAUGCUGCUUUAUGGAGAUGUUUCUAAUACUGACCUACAAUAAUUCAGCCAAGAUCACGUUUCUACUGUCUUCAGGAAAUGAGAAAAAUGAAUCCAGGAAAUUUCCAUCUUUAACUAUACUCUGUAAAUGUGCUGUCCAAUACACAGAUAGCUACUGAGCACUGGAAUAUAGCUAGUCUGAAUGGAGAUGUUCUCGAGCAGUUAAAGUGAAAACAAGAUCACGGAAAAGGAGAUAUAUUUUGGUAGAUCCAAGAAUCUAUGUUUGAUAGAGUCUUCACAGAAAGAGUCGAAAUUGACAACAUGCUUAUUGCUUUGGCUUUGGAUGUUGGUUGGGAACAUGGUUCUUGAAUAUCCACACUUCAAAGUAGAUCUUACUUUUUGGAAGAGUAGAAAGCUCAUUACGUUGGUUAAUUUGAGAAGUAAGACAAGGGCUCAGAAAGGUACUAGUUAUUAGUACCUUAUACACUAGCCUGCCUGGCAUUCUUACCAUGACAGUGAAUUGUCAUGGUAAGAGUUGUGGUUUUAAACCUCUUUUCCCCAGAUGUUACAUGGAGUAAUAUAUGUAUCCACAUACAUAUUAAAGUAGGAGGUAGAUAUUAUAUUGACUGGUGACUUGAGGACAUGAUACACAAAAUAGGUAACGUUUGAUGAAGCUUGAAAUGAGCCAAGAAAGGACAAAUCUGGAUAACACACUGUAGCCUUGGUGAUGAGAAAGGAGAAAGGAAAGAUAAUGAAGAUGGGUAUCAUAUUGCUUUGCCUUGAAUUUGCAGAAAGAGAUAUUUGGAUUAUGAUGUUACCUUAAAAAAGGCAGUUGAUAUUACUCAGUGAAAGUUCAGAAGCCAAGAAAACUAUGUGUGUGUACAUAUAUGUAUAUAAUGUACAUAUGUUUAUUUCUUUUUUUAAAAAAUUCUUACCUACCUCUCUACUAUAACAAAAUUAAUUUCAUUCUUUUUUGUUGCAUUUAAACUUUAUCUUGGUAAUGUUCAUAUUACAAAUUUGCCUAUAUUGUUGGUAUUAUAUUGUUACUAUAUAGAUAUAUUUGUAAGCAUAAAUGCUUGGUAUUCAAAUGUUUAACUAGUAAUAUUCAUAUUACAAAUUUGCAUAUAUGUUUGGUAUGAUAUUGUUACUAUAUAGAUAUGUUAUAUUUGUAAGCAUCAAUGCGUGGUAUUCAAAUGUUUAACAACUCUCCAUUUUUUUCUCAAGUAACCCUCUGACAAAAGGCUGUAUUUAUAUAAAACUGACAGAUUUUUAUGGUGGAUCAUUUUUCUUACAUUAAUUACAUAGGUAGUAUUAUUUUAGUUGGAGGUCAAAUAACAUACUAUCAAUGACAAUUUAGAGAUAAAUUGUUUGAAAUCCUGAUAUGGAAGAGCUAUAGAAAUAACAUGGGUGACCUCACGUUUUUAAGAUAGCCUCUCUGCACCAUAUGGCUAGUCCCAAAUGGAGAUCAAGAAAGCAAGGUCAUUUUUAAUCUCUACAUACAUCUUGCUUUCCUGGUUUAACACUAAUCAUUCAUUGUAUUCUGCAUAUUGGAAGGGAGCAGAUGAAGGAUACUAAGAAUUCACUUUGAAAACAUGUACUCAAUGUUUCAUAUCCAAAAACUCCCAGGGAUUAAACAAUCAGAAAACCCUACAUCAUUUGCAUUUUAAUGGAUACAAAUAAGAGUUGAAACAUUUCUUUACACUUAAACUACCAUGAACAAGCUUAUAUAGCUAUUAGGAGUGAAAAUGGGGAGGAGGAGGAAGAAGGGGACUCUGAAAUUUAAGGAAAAUUCAUUUCUUUUACAGAGUUGGAGCUAGGCUGAUUAAGUCAAGGUGCCUAACUCUGCUAGAGACACAUUUUCCUAAUGAAAAAUACUGUAACUUCAGACUUUUCACAUUUUCCAUGAAUAGAUGUCAUUACUCAUUAUCACAUUUAUCAUUACUUGUAAAACAAUGAGGUGGCAGCAGGGGGGGAAAGGACUAAAAUAGAAUUGAAAAAAAAAUUGGUACUAGCUAAGGUAAUUUAAAUGAAGCUUUUUUUUUUCCAGAAGCAAAGGUGACCUCCAUGAUUACUCCACCAUACCUUUGGGAAACUGACAUAAGAUAGUGGACAACUAUAAUGGAAAGAAUAGUGACUACGGUUUCUCUCCACCCUCCUCUAAUUCUGCAUUAGAAAUGAAAAAAAGCUUGACUGGUAAAAUUCUGAAACAGACAAUGAGCUAUUUAAGUGAUAAUUACUGAAUCUCAUUUUUAGAAGCCCAUUAACAGGUAUCUCUUUAGUCAUGAGAAAAUUAUUCAUAAAUAUUAAAUUGUGUGAUCACAUUGCAAGUUUCUUUCAAAUUAUAGAAUCUGACUAAUUUCACAGUAACUGUUUGCCAUUAAUUGGCUUUAAGAUUUAAUCAAGUAAAGACAUCAUUGUUUAAUUCUAAUUUGUAAAGCCAAAAAAAGUGUAACAUUAUUAUCUUUAGUCAAACUUCUUCAAAUGUUUAUGCAAGGUAGAAAUUGAAAACAACAGGUACUCCUGUGCUUACAGUUUCUCCAGUUCAAAGAACAAAAUUCAUCAAUGGGAAGCUGCAGUGGAUUGUAGAGUAAAAUCUUGCUGCCCAACUAGAGAAUAAAAAGAGUUUGACCAGACUUAUAACAAUGACAUAAUGGCCAUUUUGUUGAGUUCUUAAUGAGUUUAGUAGGUAGUGAAAUGGGAAAGGUUCCCUUGUCCCCCUUGCAGGGUGUGUGGUGGGGGUGUAGCUUGCUUCUUCAGUGCCCCACUGCUCAAACUUCUAGGGGAGCAUACAGAUGGGCAGGUUGUGGGGCUCCAACCCCACGGCAGUGUCUAGGGGUGAAUGUUUACAGCUCCUGAAGUGCCAGUGGGCGUGUGUUACAGGGUGCUCUGUUAGUUUGCCCUCUCUAGGCAGCUUGUGUUAACCAGCUCAGUUGGACUUUGUUGCAAGGAUAGAAGACUUUCUGUAUCUCCAGGUUCUUGCCUUGGUGUACCAGAAGAAUCAAUCACACAUGGUCUUGGAGAAUGAGUGCAAAGUUUUAUUGAGUGCAGGUAGCUCUCUGCUGCUCUUCCACCAGUAUGCUCUCCACAACCAGCCGCUUGUGUGUUCUUCCACUGAUGUGUCCUCUCAAUGUCCAGACGCUUCUGUCUCUGCCUUGCUAGGAUCUUGGGCUUUUAUAGACCUUGGAUGGGGAGGUGGUGAGCCAGGGUGGUCUUGGGAAAUGCAACAUUUGGGCGUGAAGUCAGGAGUGCCUGUUCUCACCUAGGUCCGUGGGGGUAAAGCCCUAGCUAGGGACCAUGCCUUCCUCUACCCAGCACUUCCCUUCCUCAUUCUGUAUCAUUUAAAGAGACCACACUCCUCCCUUCCCAGCACUCCUGUAUCAGUAGGAAGAUAGAAGAAAACUCUAGAUCACCAUCAAGUUCAAGUCAUUUCAGAUUUUCAGUGAAUAUAUGUUUGCUGUGUCCUUCAGGUACCAAGAUGCAGGGAAAUGAUUAAAAGGCCCUGAGAUAUACAAUACUGAAUGGUAGGGAGGAGGAGGCCUUCUAGGUUGGAAAGUCCCGUAGCUGACUAGCUACUAAAUGUUCUAUCAGCUAUUGAUAAGACCGUGUUCAGAACAUACGGAAAUUGUAGGAUAUAAUUUUUGUAUGUUACUUGUCACCAGCUGUUCAAUAUUAUGAAUUAUUCCUGAGACAUUACAGAAGUUGAGAAUGAAUUGUGCCCAUAAACAGAAAACAUAUUAACCUAUACAAUACACUCGUUUUCCUUUUAGAGACACGAAUACCCCUAGCUCAAGGAGUCGAUAUGUAUAAAAUAGGCAACUAGGGGCAUGCAAAUAUUGUGGAAAUGGUGUUUCUGAUUGGCACUGGCAGAUUUAUUAUUCGAAAUAAUCCUGUUGGCAAAAAAAGGAAAUUUUUUUUCCGUAUCAUAAAAUCUGAUUUCAAAAACUUGCUCCUUUUUGACUUUCUCUAUAAGCUUGUAAGUCUGCAUUCUUCUCUCAUUUUUAUAUCCAGGCUCUAUUGUAAUUUAUCUGUUGCUAACCAGUUUUCAAUAAAAUAUAUAAUAAAUAAGAUUUUCGGUUUUUA